rnacentral:rRNA from 1 species
UACGGGGGGGGCAAGCGUUGUUCGGAAUUACUGGGCGUAAAGGGCUCGUAGGCGGCCAACUAAGUCAGACGUGAAAUCCCUCGGCUUAACCGGGGAACUGCAUCUGAUACUGGAUGGCUUGAGUUCGGGAGAGGGAUGCGGAAUUCCAGGUGUAGCGGUGAAAUGCGUAGAUAUCUGGAGGAACACCGGUGGCGAAGGCGGCAUCCUGGACCGACACUGACGCUGAGGGGCGAAAGCCAGGGGAGCAAACGGG